GACGAACGCUGGCGGCGUGCUUAACACAUGCAAGUCGAACGGAAAGGCCCUGCUUUUGUGGGGUGCUCGAGUGGCGAACGGGUGAGUAACACGUGGGUAACCUGCCCUUGACUUUGGGAUAACUUCAGGAAACUGGGGCUAAUACCGGAUAGGAGCUCCUGCUGCAUGGUGGGGGGUGGAAAGUUUCGGCGGUUGGGGAUGGACUCGCGGCUUAUCAGCUUGUUGGUGGGGUAGUGGCUUACCAAGGCUUUGACGGGUAGCCGGCCUGAGAGGGUGACCGGCCACAUUGGGAUGGAGAUACGGCCCAGACUCCUACGGGAGGCAGCAGUGGGGAAUAUUGCACAAUGGGCGGAAGCCUGAUGCAGCAACGCCGCGUGCGGGAUGACGGCCUUCGGGUUGUAAACCGCUUUCGCCUGUGACGAAGCGUGAGGGACGGUAAUGGGUAAAGAAGCACCGGCGAACUACGU
rnacentral:rRNA from 1 species